rnacentral:rRNA from 1 species
UAAAUUGAAGAGUUUGAUCAUGGCUCAGAUUGAACGCUGGCGGCAGGCCUAACACAUGCAAGUCGAGCGGAAACGAGUUAUCUGAACCUUCGGGGAAGGAUAACGGCGUCGAGCGGCGGACGGGUGAGUAAUGCCUAGGAAAUUGCCCUGAUGUGGGGGAUAACCAUUGGAAACGAUGGCUAAUACCGCAUGAUGCCUACGGGCCAAAGA